AGAGUUUGAUCCUGGCUCAGAACGAACGCUGGCGGCGUGCUUAAUACAUGCAAGUCGAACGAUAACGCCACCUUCGGGUGGUUAUUAAAGUGGCGAACGGGUGAGGAACACGUGGAUAAUCUUCCCUUAAACCUGGGAUAAUCCUCCGAAAGGGGGUCUAAUACCGGAUAAUAUUAUUUGAUGGCAUCAUCAGAUAGUCAAAGGCGGGGUAACCUGUCGUUUAGGGAUGAGUCCGCGCCCCAUUAGCUUGUUGGUAGGGUAAAAGCCUACCAAGGCUUCGAUGGGUAGCCGGCCUGAGAGGGCGACCGGCCACACUGGGACUGAGAUACGGCCCAGACUCCUACGGGAGGCAGCAGUAGGGAAUAUUGCGCAAUGGACGAAAGUCUGACGCAGCAACGCCGCGUGGGUGAUGAAGCAUCUUGGUGUGUAAAACCCUUUCAGUGGGGAAGAACCGUGCAAUGAGUAACUGCUUUGCACCUGACGGUACCCACAGAAGAAGUCCCGGCUAACUCCGUGCCAGCAGCCGCGGUAAUACGGGGGGGACAAGCGUUGUUCGGAUUUACUGGGCGUAAAGGGCGUGUAGGCGGACCUUCAAGUCGGAAGUGAAAACCGUUGGCUUAACCAGCGGCCUGCUUUCGAUACUGCCUGUCUUGAGUUCGUGAGAGGAAAGUGGAAUUCCAGGUGUAGCGGUGAAAUGCUUAGAUAUCCUGAGGAACACCAGUGGCGAAAGCGACUUUCUGGCACGAAACUGACGCUGAGGCUCGAAAGCGUGGGUAGCGAACGGGAUUAGAUACCCCGGUAGUCCACGCCGUAAACGUUGUGUACUAGGGUGCAGGAGGUAUCGACCCCUUCUGUGCCGCAGCUAACGCAUUAAGUACACCGCCUGGGGAGUACGCACGCAAGUGUGAAACUCAAAGGAAUUGACGGGGGCCCGCACAAGCGGUGGAGCAUGUGGUUUAAUUCGAGGCAACGCGAAGAACCUUACCCAGGCUUGACAUCCCUGAGACAACCGGUGAAAGUCGGCUUUCCCUUCGGGGACUCAUACACAGGUGCUGCAUGGCUGUCGUCAGCUCGUGCCGUGAGGUGUUGGGUUAAGUCCCGCAACGAGCGCAACCCUUGUCCAUAGUUGCCAUCAGGUCAUGCUGGGGACUCUAUGGAGACUGCCGGUGAUAAGCUGGAGGAAGGUGGGGAUGACGUCAAGUCAUCAUGGCCCUUAUACCCAGGGCUACACACGUACUACAAUGGUCGGUACAGUAGGAUGCAAGACCGCGAGGUGGAGCAAAACCUCAAAACCGGCCUCAGUUCAGAUUGGAGUCUGCAACUCGACUCCAUGAAGGUGGAAUCGCUAGUAAUCGCUGAUCAGCAGGCAGCGGUGAAUACGUUCCCGGGCCUUGUACACACCGCCCGUCAAGCCACGGAAGUUGGGAGCGCCCGAAGUCGUUUACCUAACCGCAAGGAAGGUGACGCCUAAGGUGAAACCGAUGACUGGGGCUAAGUCGUAACAAGGUA
rnacentral:rRNA from 1 species